rnacentral:rRNA from 1 species
GCGAUCAUUCCAGCACUAAUGCACCGGAUCCCAUCAGAACUCAGCAGUUAAAUGUGCUUGGGCGAGAGUAGUACUAGGAUGGGUGACCCCCUAGGAAGUCCUCGUGUUGCACCCC